AACGAACGCUGGCGGCAGGCCUAACACAUGCAAGUCGAGCGAGGACUUCGUUCCGAGCGGCGGACGGGUGAGUAACGCGAGGUAACGUGCCCUUUGCUUCGGAAUAGCCCUGUGAAACGGGGAGGAGUACCGGUUGAGCCCAUGAGGGGUAAGAUUUAUCGGCGAAGGAUCGGCCCGCGUUGGAUUAGGUAGUUGGUGGGGUAAUGGCCUACCAAGCCGACGAUCCAUAGCUGGUUUGAGAGGAUGAUCAGCCACCCUGGGACUGAGACACGGCCCAGACUCUUACGGGAGGCAGCAGUGGGGACUCUUAGACAAUGGGGGAAACACUGAUCUAGCCAUGCCGCGUGAGCGAUGAAGGCGUUAGGGUUGUAAAGCUCUUUCAGCUGGGAAGAUAAUGACGGUACCAGCAGAAGAAGCCCCGGCUAACUCCGUG
rnacentral:rRNA from 1 species